GUUUGAUCCUGGCUCAGGAUGAACGCUGACAGAAUGCUUAACACAUGCAAGUCAACUUGAAUUUGGGUUUUUAACUUAGGUUUGGGUGGCGGACGGGUGAGUAACGCGUAAAGAACUUGCCUCACAGCUAGGGACAACAUUUGGAAACGAAUGCUAAUACCUAAUAUUAUGAUAAUAGGGCAUCCUAUAAUUAUGAAAGCUAUAAGCGCUGUGAGAGAGCUUUGCGUCCCAUUAGCUAGUUGGAGAGGUAACAGCUCACCAAGGCGAUGAUGGGUAGCCGGCCUGAGAGGGUGAUCGGCCACAAGGGGACUGAGACACGGCCCUUACUCCUACGGGAGGCAGCAGUGGGGAAUAUUGGACAAUGGACCAAGAGUCUGAUCCAGCAAUUCUGUGUGCACGAUGAAGUUUUUCGGAAUGUAAAGUGCUUUCAGUUGGGAAGAAAAAAAUGACGGUACCAACAGAAGAAGUGACGGCUAAAUACGUGCCAGCAGCCGCGGUAAUACGUAUGUCACGAGCGUUAUCCGGAUUUAUUGGGCGUAAAGCGCGUCUAGGUGGUUAUGUAAGUCUGAUGUGAAAAUGCAGGGCUCAACUCUGUAUUGCGUUGGAAACUGUAUAACUAGAGUACUGGAGAGGUAAGCGGAACUACAAGUGUAGAGGUGAAAUUCGUAGAUAUUUGUAGGAAUGCCGAUGGGGAAGCCAGCUUACUGGACAGAUACUGACGCUGAAGCGCGAAAGCGUGGGUAGCAAACAGGAUUAGAUACCCUGGUAGUCCACGCCGUAAACGAUGAGUGCUAAGU
rnacentral:rRNA from 1 species